CCCCUCUGCUGCAGGUCUGCUGGAGUUUGCUGGAGGUCCACUCCAGACCCUGUUUGUCUGUGUAUCACCAGCGGAGACUGCAGAACAGCAAAGGUUGCUGCCUGCUCCUUCCUCUGAAAGCUUCAUCCCAGAGGUACAACUAAGACCUCUGGAUAUUAUAAAACAAACAGAGCUAACCCACCUCAGAAGAAUGUCUAACAGAAUUUCUCUAAUCAGAAAGGCAACGAUAAAAGAAGACACCUUGGACCAUCAGGAAGAAAGAGCAUGAACUCAAGAAGCACAGUUUGAAAACCACAGAAUGAGUGGAAUGCAAGCCUCUGCUUCUUCAGGUGAGGAUUCAGACCAGGAUACAGAACCAAUCAGAGGCCUGUCAGUCCAGAAGUCCUUCCAGAACACCAGCAGUCCUGCAUUCAUCCAUGUGCUGACCACAGUGCCCACUAGAGCUCCCCGUGCAGUCAGAGAUUCACUGAAGCCUCUGUCAGACGUCAUCAUGAAAUGUACCCUGAAAAGACUCUUGCACAGGACACCCUGCUGGCAACACGUGGGGUGAAGGGUGCAGAGGUUGCCUUCUCCAGGGAAUUAUAUUCUAAGAUGUACAUUUCCAUCUUGGCAAGCUCAGAGACAAACACCCAGGUACUGUGCUCUGAAGCAGUUGAAUUAGUAAACUAAGAGGAAUAACAUCUUGGGGAGCAUUAGUGCUGGUGCUCUUUGUGCAGUGGGACAUGGAAAGUGUGAGCGGCAGGACAGAUCCUCAGCAGGGUUGAGAAGGAGCUACCUGGACUUCUGCAUGUAUGGGAGUUUUAGUAACUUAAUAGCUCAGCUUUGCCUUGCGAAAAUUCUAUGUAUCUGCACCCAGAUCUUUCAGGUCUAGAAACAGAUAGAUAUAAAACAUACAAAGUAUAUAUGUACACAUUAUAUAUAUAUAUGUAUUAUAUAUAAAGUAUAUACACA
rnacentral:lncRNA from 1 species